CGCCUCUUGUAAAACAUAAGAGGUCCAGCCUGCCCAGUGACUUAUUCAACGGCCACGGUACCUUAACCGUGCAAAGGUAGCAUAAUAACUUGUUCUUUAAAUGAGGACUUGUAUCAACGGCACCACGAGGGCUAUACUGUCUCCUCCCCCCAAUCAGUGAAACUAACCUCCCCGUGAAGAGGCGGGGAUUUAACUACAAGACGAGAAGACCCCAUGGAGCUUUAAACCCAGCGAGCACUCACCGAUAUAUACCCCAUUCACAAACCCUGCCCUCUGGUUUUAGGUUGGGGCGACCACGGAGUAAAAAACAACCUCCGCGCCGAAUGGUAAACCCUAAUCAAUGAGCCCCCACUCUAAGAAUCAGCAUACUGACGCCAACUGACCCAAAAAUGAUCAACGAACCAAGUUACCCUGGGGAUAACAGCGCAAUUCAUCUUAAAAGCCCCUAUUGAAAGAUGAGCUUACGACCUCGAUGUUGGAUCAGGGUAUCCAAGUGGUGUAGCCGCUACUAAGGGCUCGUUUGUUCAACG
rnacentral:rRNA from 1 species